CCAUUGUUAACUAACGUUAACAGCUAGCUAGCGUUACUUAUAUAAAACCUAUAAUUUAUGUCCUGUUUCCAACGCGAAUUAAACACUACCUGGGGCCUAUCACUCUACUGACAAAGUCUACUACUCAACUGGAGCCUCUUAGGAUCCUUGACCCAUCUUCACUGCCUCCGCAUACGACAUCUUCUGACUAGAUGCUUUGUUGCGUAUUGCUGCCCUUCACAGGAACAGGAGGGUCUGUCUCUAUCAGCCCCAGGCCGUGUAUCAUCCCUGCACUGAGACUGUGAAGAGAAGGGUCUGGGCUGCAGACUGGAUCCCUGACUGGAGCCUCUGUCUCUCUGAUGACCACCAGGACUGAGGUUGUUCAGUCCACUAGUCCACUGGUUGUGUUCUGUGUGGUGGUGGAGUCUCUGUCCCUCGUGGUUCGUUCCCGGUUCUGAUUUGGGAAGGACGAGCGACGGCUCCUGAUCCAGGGUCCUGAUCCGGGGCCAGGGUUUGUGACCAGCAAUCUCAAAGGUUCUACUCUCUCCUCUCACCAGCAACAGCAAUAUCAGCAGGUCCUCAUUAACAGAAUCUAUGGCAAUCUUUGGUUGUUUAUACUUUAAUAGCUAAACACAUUUGUUCAUAUAUAUUGUUCAUUUAUUAUAUCUGUGUCCAUAUUGUCCAUGAGUUUCUAGUAGAUAGACCAUAUGGUUCAAGAGAAAAUAGUCAAUUUAAUGAAAAAGUUAUCUAAUCAACAUUGGCAAAUUGACUUACUUUCAAUUAACUCUAUUGACUGGGUUCACAACUGACACCAGUUUGACAACAAAUGCACGUUGACAUUAUAAAAUAAAUAAGCAUGUUAAAAAAAAUAUAUUUCCUGCUGUAACCCUCAUAUUAAGCACCAAUGGUAUUCACUAAGGCCCGAUUCUGACCCGAGGUGAACCUGUGUAAAUGGAAUGUUAUUCCCUUGUCAUGCACUUUUCUCUCUAUGCGUAUCCUGAUCUUGAAUGUAAGCAUGAGAGUAGCAUGCUAUUCACCUGCUAUUCGUUUAGGGUGUAGAACUAAGAAAUGAAGGUGUGACAGGGGUGUGUUUACAGAUAAGGUGUAUUCUGACUUUGACUUAAUUCCCCUCAUAAUUCCACCACCUUUACAUGCGAGGACACCAUGAAUAAGGUCGCCGCAAACCUGCCAGUUCCAAGUGUAAAAGCAUCUACCUUUUACAAUAGAAUUAACAGCAUUCUCCAUGCACUGUAAUUUCUAAAUGGACAAGAGCUAUUGAUAAGAGCUCGGUAAAUGAGUAAUCCGUUUGUGGAGAAGGGGAUUGUAAAUACACAUAGCAAUUGUUUUUAAUUAAUUUUCCUAAUGAUCCCUGGAGAUGAAUGGAAAACCUCAUAUGGAAGCAAACUGAAAUUCAUAUCAACAUGACAUUUAUUGCUGCCCCUUUUCCACUGUGAAAAAGGCUACAAAUAGCUGUGCUGUUAUUCAGAAUUUGAAUUGUGUGCCCUCGUAAUUUGAUGCAUAUGCGCUUUAGAAUGUUUGAAUUAUAGCCUAUACCCGGGUAUUUCUCAGUUUGAUUUUACAAUUUGUAUCAUUUUCAAAAUGUGCCACUAUCGGGAGUAAAUCAGUAAUACCCACAUACAUUUAUAACGGUCACUUGUGUUAGUUUUCUUCAAUUUGGAGCCUACAUUUUGCAUCAUUCUAUUCCCUUUACCUUUCUUUCCUCUGUCACAACCUUGUAAAUUGUUCCUGGGGGUCGCUAGGAUUAGUGGAUCAUAU